rnacentral:rRNA from 1 species
CCUACGGGAGGCAGCAGUGAGGAAUAUUGGUCAAUGGGCGAGAGCCUGAACCAGCCAAGUAGCGUGCAGGACGACGGCCCUACGGGUUGUAAACUGCUUUUGCGGGAGGAUAAACGGCGCCACGUGCUGGCGCCCUGCAGGUAUCCCGUGAAUAAGGACCGGCUAAUUCCGUGCCAGCAGCCGCGGUAAU